rnacentral:snoRNA from 1 species
UGAUGAAUAAAAUCAAAUCACCUUCUUUCGGCUGA